UACGUAGGUGGCAAGCGUUGUCCGGAUUUACUGGGCGUAAAGAGCGCGCAGGCGGUCGUUCAAGUCGCGUGUGAAAGCCCCCGGCUCAACUGGGGAGGGUCACGCGAUACUGAUCGACUCGAAGGCAGGAGAGGGAAGUGGAAUUCCCGGUGUAGUGGUGAAACGCGUAGAUAUCGGGAGGAACACCAGUGGCGAAGGCGACUUCCUGGCCUGUUCUUGACGCUGAGGCGCGAAAGCUAGGGGAGCAAACGGG
rnacentral:rRNA from 1 species